rnacentral:rRNA from 1 species
GGGGGGGGGGGGGGGGGGGGCGGGGGGAGGCGGGGGGGGCGGGCGGGCGAGAAGGGGGCUGCGCGGAGGUUGGGGGCGGACGGGGGAGGGACACGUGGAUAACCUAGCUAUGAGACGGGGAGAACAUCGGGAAAACGGAGCUAAUAACGGAUAAGAGUUUGAACGGCAGGGUUCAAAAGUGAAAGACGGUCGUGCUGUAACUGAUAGAUGGAUCCGCGCUGCAUUAGCGAGUUGGUAAGGUAACGGGUUACCAAGGCAACGAUGCAUAGCAGACCUGAGAGGGUCAUCGGCCACACUGGAACUGAGACACGGUCCAGACUCCUACGGGAGGCAGCAGUAGGGAAUCUUCCGCAAUGGGCGAAAGCCUGACGGAGCAACGCCGCGUGAGUGAUGAAGGUCUUCGGAUCGUAAAACUCUGUUAUUAGGGAAGAACAUAUGUGUAAGUAACUGUGCACAUCUUGACGGUACCUAAUCAGAAAGCCACGGCUAACUACGUG